GCUUUCAGCCUUAAGAGAUGAGAAGUAGAAUGAUUCCUUAAGGUCUUCAGCUUCCACAUCCAUGUCCUGCUGAUAUAAUUGGGGAAUGAGCUCAUGAGUCAAAACUAGUAAAUGUGGCCUCUGAGGGACCAAUACAUUAAGUGAGAAUCAAACCCAAAGUUUCUUAGUGAUGAUUAAGCAUCGAGACACUAGUGGUGAAAGGAAGCUACUGGAUAUCCUAAUGAUUUAAGGAAUAAUUUCCUGGGAUGUGGUGUCCAGCUGUGUGUAUGCGUGAUAUACCGAAAAUAAGGGACAUGGCUACUUUGGAGAGUGUUUCCAGUGGUGAAGCUCUGAAUGGCCUGAGAUCUGAUAGACAUCACAGGAUUAGCAAGCCAUCUCUCCACACUGCCCAGCUUCCCCUCCGCCUCCACCAGCUCUCUCCAUGUGGCCGAAGAGGGGAAGAUGCAUGAUGAAACUUUGCCAGUGGAACUUCCAGAAUGAGGAUUUUUAUCCAGGAUGUUCAUUUUGACACCCCAGAUGGUUAUUCAAUCCCUGAAGUAUGGGAUGAUCCAUAUUCACAUUAUCCCAAGGGAAGCUCUUUGGAAGAACUGUGACCUCUUUGCACUUGAAGGUU